ncrna:unclassified sequences L31-Actinobacteria ribosomal protein leader
GCGGUUCCGGUUCACGCCAUACAGGGCCGGCCCGUCCCAUGACGGGUGACCUGGCGACCCGGCGACC